UCCCUCUGUCUCUCAAAACUAAACCAAAAAAAAAUUUUUUUUUGAACAUUAAAAAAAGAUACUAAAUACUUUGCCAGCUUAUCUUAUUUUCUACCCAGCUCACAGUAAGCAUAAGUAAAUAUUUGAAUAAAUGAAUGUGAAGAUGAUUUUCCUGUGUUGGAGAUAUUUUAAAAAUUUCAUCAUGUAUUUUGAUGCAAAUCUAAAACUGGUUUUCACAAAACAGUUUGAAUAAUCAUUCAUCAGUGUGUGCAGCCUUCUAAUAUGAUUACUUUGAGGAAGUAAAGACUGAAAAACAUAUUUGAUAACAUAUUUACUAUUAGCAAACGUGGAUGUAAAUAUAAAAAGUAUUGGAAGAAAACACACAUUGAAUGUAUUAUUAAAUCUGAACUGACUUCCUUAAGAGGUGAUUAUGAAUACAAAUGUAGGACUCUAAGCUGUGCAGAGAAACUAUGAGUCAUUUCAGACACAGGAAAUCAUGUCAGAUAAAGCUUAAAGGCAAAGAGCGACUCUGGUGAUUGAAAGUUGGUAAGUGAUGAUAAAGGUUAAUAAUAUUAGUAUUAUAUUGAUAUUUAUUAAGGACAUAGGUACAUAGGUAGCAUGGGAUUGUGCUAAAUGUCAUGCAUGGUGGUAUCUUUAUUUUUUCAUUCUACAGAAAGAAAAAAGAAUGUCAAAGCUUAGGCAAAGUUAAGUAGCUUGCCUACUGUCCCAUGGGCUUUAAUGGUGGAGGCCAUGCAUGAAUUUAGAUCUAUCUGAUCCCGAAGCUCAAGUCCCUGACUACUGAGUGGAGCUGUAUCUGAUUAUGAGAUUAAGUUCUAAUGGCAGCUCGCAGAGUGAAAUUUAGGCAGAGGUUAAACUACUGCAGAAAAUCCUGUAAGGAGACCAUUUUGGAGAGCAACAUGCCAUUUCCCAGAAAGCCCAGCACAGCCGGGAUUUCCUCUACUACUGGAUCAGAUUGCAGCUGCUUUGGCUGAACAUAUGAAGGAGGUAGUUUGCAGUUAGGGGCAAGUUGUGCGUGGUUCGAAAAAUACCUGUAAACACUGGAUGCACACACUGUGGGGUUAGGUGCUCUCGACAGAAGAAGCACUAAGAGACUGAAUGAAAGUAGAAUCAAGUCUCCCAUCAGAAUUUUCCUGUGCAGUUUCAACUGUUCAUUCUCGCUCCUUCCCCUUCGCUCUCUUUUCUUCUGUAUGUGUAUAUGGUUGAUGUAGCAUAUAUCACUUUAUGUGAUGCGAUCUUGCUAACAGUCAAGCAGCUUUGCUGGUCUAGAGAGGAUUAUUUAAUGGUCUACAAUAUUGAAAAUCUUGUCAAAAUAGUUAUUGUUUGUUGUAGUGCAGCCACCUAUCCAAAGCUGGGAGAAUCAGGUAGCGCAUCCAUCAUGGGAAUACAUCAACUAUCUCCAGAAUUAACAAAAGGGAUGGCUUCCACUGUGUAAAAGAAGAUUUCAAGUGUCUCCGUGAGCCAGUCAGCAUUGACUGUGUCCCUCCGUUGUUGAGAAUAGUUCUCCUCGACCCCACUCCCACCCCAGCACACUGAGGCAAGGGGCACGCUUCUACCAAUAUAGAAGUGUUCUCGGCAGAGCUGAGUCACGCCGUUCUACUUCCCAGAUUAGGAAAGCAGAAUCUGUGGAAUUUGGAUUGAGUGUAGUCUGGAAACCCUUCUCCUGGAUCGUCUACGACAUCCUCCUAUGAGAUGAUUUCCUUACUCUCCAAUCAUCACUAUUGGUUUGAAACAACGGCACUUGAUAAAUGUUCACUGAACUUAAUAGGGUUUCUCCCCCUAAAUGAGGGGCUUUUGAAUCCUAUCCAGUCCUAACCUGUCCAUUCUCCUGUUUGCAGUUGUUGGCACCUACCCAAGAUGUUCCUUGGGGUACGUGGCGGAGAAGAAGCUGUCCAAAGCUCUGUGUAGUGGCCGAGAGGAUCUCACUGAAGAGCUGAGAACAGUACGUCAGAGAGACCACCGCUUGAAAGCCUGUCGUGCUUACAGCCUCCUUUCGAAGAGGCCGCCCCGACCACAACCCCCUAAGCAGACUUCUCGAAGCCUUUACAACAGCUACUGCUUUUCUGUCAAGUCGGCAGAAUCGACACAAUUACUUCACUCUCCACUCACACUAAUAUGAACUAGGUUGUAUGACAAUGCAUUCUUUAUGAGUUAGGUGUUGUAUAUAAGGCCAACUAAACUAUUUUACAUAUGGCUUAAUUAUUACAGUCCUUUUAAACAAGUUUUUCCUUACACUCAGCUCAGCACUCCUGUAAGUCAGUCCACAAAUUACUGUGCUCAUUUCCUUUUCUUUUUAAACAACUCCUUAGACUCUGGGCAAAGAACUAUGUUAGGUGUUGUAAGGGAAUUAAGAAAAACAGAUGCUUAUG